GUCUCCAAUAAUUCUCUCUCAAACGGAAGUUAAUGUGAUCAAGAGGAGCUGGAUCAAGCCUCAGGUAGAACAUGAGGUGCUGGACUUUAAGAAUGAUGACAGGAUGGAUGAAGAAACAGAGACACCAUGAAGAUAAGACUGAUAUGGUUUGGAUCUGUGUCCCCACUCAAAUCUCAUCUUUAAUUUUAAUCCCCAUGUGUUGAAGAAGGGACGUGACGGGAGGUGAUUGGAUCAUGGGGGCAGUUUCCACCAUGCUGUUCUCGUGAUAGUGAAUGAGUUCUUACGAGAUCUGAUGGUUUAAAAGUGUGACACUUUCCCUCUCACCCCUCCCUCUCUCUCUCCUGCUGCCUUGUGAAGAAGGUGCUUGCUUUUCCUUCACCUUUUGCCACAACUGUAAGUUUCCCGAGGCCUCACAGCCAUGCAGAACUGUGAGUCAAUUAAAUCUCUUUUAUUUAUAAAUUACCCAGUCUCAAAUAGUUCUUUAUAGCAAUGUGAAAAUGG
rnacentral:lncRNA from 1 species